AAAAUGUAGCUUAACAAAAGCGUCUGGCU
rnacentral:tRNA from 1 species